AUGACCUUACUUGAACAGGAUCUGUUCUAUAGGCUCGUACCUCUGUAUCCUUGAGUUCUAAAGAGACAGGAACUAAAGUCUGCAGGAUGAACCAUGACCCUGCAAUCAGAGCGUGAUUAAUGGUUAGGUGUGUCUUGUCUAAGGACAAAAUACACCCUUAACUGUAGAGGAUCGUUCCCAGUCUCUCUGACUUGGGAUGGUUGUAGGGUUGUCUGACAGACU
rnacentral:snoRNA from 1 species